rnacentral:rRNA from 1 species
AUGAACUCUGAAGAAACAACGGAGGAGGGGAGCGUGGAGCUCGCCCUCGAAAAUCACGAGGAAUUACGAUCCCGCGUCUCGGACGUCCGCCCCCGCUCAACGGAGAUUAACUCUGAACAAACAACGGAGGAGAGGAGCAUGGAGCACUACUGCCCAAAUUCCGUCCUCCAGGCGACAUCUUACCCUGAUGCUGAUGGUAACAUCAUAUCUCAAGUUCAACCUGAUGUUGUCACUCCACGCGGAGGAAGCAAUGUUGUCCGAGUUGAACCCAACUAUGGCAUAAUUGGAGUUAGAGUUAGUCUGGGCGGUGUUCAAGCCUACAUAAUACCGGUUCAGGCGGCAGCACAUCUUCGUCAUUCCACCUUCGGGACUGGAUCCGGCCACAUCAAUGAAACCAUGUCUGCAGAAGCUAGUCCCGAUUUCAGCGUCCGUGAUGCUGUUGGAGUUGAGCUGAACAGUGACGAUGUUCGAGCCUACAUACAGGCUCAGCAGGUUGCAGCACAUUUUCGUCGUUCCAUCUUCGGGGCUGGAUCCGGCCACAUCAAUGAAACCAUGUCUGCAGAAGCUAGUCCCGGAUUCAGCGUCCGUGAUGAUGUUGGAGUUGAGCUGAACGAUGACGAUGUUCGAGCCUACAUACGGGCUCAGCAGGCUGCAGCACAUUUUCGUCGUUCCAUCUUCGGGGCUGGAUUCGGCCACAUCAAUGAAACCAUGUCUGCAGAAGCUAGUCCCGGAUUCAGCGUCCGUGAUGAUGUUGGAGUUGAGCUGAACGAUGACGAUGUUCAAGCCUACAUACAGGCUCAGCAGGCUGCAGCGCAUUUUCGUCGUUCCACCUUUGGGGCUGGAUCCGGCUACAUCACUGAAACUAUGUCUGUGGAAGCUAGCAGCCCUGGAGGAGGCGAUGGUCGACUUGGAGUUGAGUGGAACGAUGAGAUGCUGACGGCGCUGCGUUCCAGCGCUCCAGCUAUGAGAGAACACGACGGCUCUCAAGAUUUUCUCGUCGAUGAAGCGGGUGGCCGCUUUCUCGCUAUUCACAUUCACCCUCCGCAGCAGGGCGAUCAAGGUUUAGUGGGAGCCGCACGAGGAACACAAGAUGGUCCCGGUGAUCUUGCUCGGCACGCUCUGCCGUCGGUAAUUGGAGGUCUUGUGCCGCUAUGCUUCAACUUAUUAUUAGAUGAUAGUAUCCUCAAGGCGGACAGUUCUCCCGGAUAUAUCAAGGCUGCCGCUGCCGCUGGGCUGGGGCUUGUGACUGCAUUCACGUUUCUUGGGGUCGCUUCCAAGAAGAGGGCCAAGGCUGCCGCCAGGGUGGUAGCCAGCGCGUCGACGGCCGCGGUGUCGAUAGCCAUGGUGUACCAAGUUUCCGACAAUGCCUACAUCAAGUGUGUUUGCGGGAUCAUGGGAUGCGUCGCAACCUUGGCCACAAUGGCCAUCGACUGGUGA